GCGCUCCUGUCUGCCAGCCGAGCCGUAGAACAAGAUGGCGGACUCCUUAGCAACGGCUCAGGGAGAGGAGAUCGAACCGGAGAAAGAAGGCAAGGAGAGACGGAUGGAGGGAGAUAGUGAGAACCGGGGAUCGAAGGAGACCUCCGAGGUGACGGAAACGCUGGGGUUUUACGACAAGAAGAAAGUCCAAAAGGACAAGAAACGGAGUUUGUCUGGUGAGUACUGAACCAGAACCUCAGCUUGAGGAGAGGAGAGCCCAGGUACUGGUCCAGGUGAGUACUGAACCAGAACCUCAGCUUGAGGAGAGGAGAGCCCAGGUACUGGUCCAGGUGAGUACUGAACCAGAACCUCAGCUUGAGGAGAGGUAGUAGUAGUAGCAGCUAGCUAACAGUAGUAGUAGUAGUAGUAGUAGUAGCAGCUAGCUAACAGUAGUAGUAGUAGUAGUAGUAGUAGUAGCAGCUAGCUAACAGUAGUAGUAGUAGUAGUAGUAGUAGUAGCAGCUAGCUAACAGUAGUAGUAGUAGUAGUAGCAGCUAGCUAACAGUAGUAGUAGUAGUAGUAGUAGCAGCUAGCUAACAGUAGUAGUAGUAGUAGUAGUAGUAGCAGCUAGCUAACAGUAGUAGUAGUAGUAGUAGUAGCAGCUAGCUAACAGUAGUAGUAGUAGUAGUAGUAGCAGCUAGCUAACAGUAGUAGUAGUAGUAGUAGUAGCAGCAGCUAGCUAACAGUAGUAGUAGUACUAGUAGUAGCAGCUAGCUAACAGUAGUAGUAGUAGCAGCAGCUAGCUAACAGUAGUAGUACUAAUAGUAGUAGUAGUAGUAGUAGUAGUAGUAGUAGUAGCAGCUAGCUAACAGUAGUAGUAGUAG
rnacentral:lncRNA from 1 species